UACAGGGGGGCAAGCGUUGUUCGGAAUUACGUGGCGUAAAGGGCCAGUAGGCGGCUAACUAAGUCCGACGUGAAAAUCCCCAGGCUUAACUUGGGAACCUGCGUCGGAUACUGGUUUGGCUUGAAGUUCGGGAGAGGGAUUGGCAGGAAGUUCCAGGUGAUUAGCGGUGGAAAUGCGUAGAUAUCUGGAGGAAUACCGGUGGCGAAGGCGGCAAUCCUGGACCCGACGAUUGAACGC
rnacentral:rRNA from 1 species